CCUCGACCGAGGGCUUCAGUAGGCGCAGCCGCAGCGUGGGGCUUUAACCCUUGUUACUGUGGCAGUAAAACAGGGCCUCUGCUUGGGGCGCGUGGAGGGAAGCUGGAAAGGGACCUCCCAGCUUGUGAUACAGACUGGGCUUGUACCUCAUGCUGUUAAUGGGAGGCCUGAAGCCCCCCCUAGGGCUGCAUUAAUCCAUGGCUUUGGACAAUCUCCAGUGUGCUGGAGGACAGAGGUGGAGUAUUCUUGUUCUGGUGCUAUUUCCAUGUAAGCACCCUGAAGUGCAAGUACCGCCUGUGUUUUCAGUUUUCCACCCAAGAUGUGGGGUGAAAGGGACUUCUCAGGGACCUUAGAGAGUCAAAGAAACAUGUUUAUCCUCACAGCGCUCUUAGCUGAGCCUGUGGCCUUGUAGGGGUGAGACCUCUUUCCAGGUGAGGAACUGACAGACGUGGAGUGGGUCCACUAGGGGUGACCCAGGAAAUCUCUGGGGACCCAGGUGACUGAAUGCUUGUGGAUUACUGGCCAGCACUCAGUUCCUUGAUGCAGGGCCACAGAUCAAAAUGGGUUGGAAGAGAGUGUGACAGUCAUUUAGUCCAAUUUCCCUGUCCAUGUAAGAAUCAACUUGGCUUACAUCAUUCCUGAUAAAUGUUUGCCCAGCCUGAUUUAAAGGCUUCCAAUGCUGACAAGGACUUUUGCAUGCAAUCUGUUCUGGUGCUUUAUUGUUCUCUCUGCUAGAAACGUAUCCUUUGUACGUAGUCUUCCUUGCACCCAUUAAAGCUGAGUACUGCUGCCUCUGUCCUGAGGUGGAGAACAGCCAACUUUCUCCUUAGAGCAGCUUCCAAGUGGUAGUCUGUUCCCAUGCUCCCUUGCAGCCUUCAUUUCUGAGGAAAAGAACACCAAUAUUGUGUUGUUCCUGUAGGGCACUUGCGCAUCAUUCCCUCCCUGCUUGCAAGUUGUAAAGGGGGACCAGGUGGGCUGAAAGGUGGUGCACUUCAGAUGUGUUGCAGGUGAUUCUUGUGCCUAUGGUGUUUGAAAUAACAGAGCUGCUACAGCUCAUCUUAUUACAGGAGAGGAGUCAUUUCCCAAGCAGUGAAGACCAAGCCAAAACUUGCAUUAACAUUUUGUUUGGGCAAGUUUUCAAAAGCUGCAUUUAAGUUUUAAUAAACUACUGUUUCUCCUCCAGGUUGCAUCCAGAGGGACAAAUACCCAGUGAGAAAAGGCUUCUCUCUCACAGCCAAGAUGAUGAUGAGAUACCAAGAGAGACUUUAUCCAGUUUCGAGCCAAUUUCCUGUUCCAUAUAUGUUUUGAUAUGUUUUGAGUUACUUGUCAGAAGUUUCAGAUGUUCCUCCCUGUGAAGGGUCAUGUCACAGUCGUCCUCUGUUACUUUUGCAUGGCAUCUGCUUGCAGAUCUCAGCACGGUCCAUCGAGUCCCUGGUGAAUGCAGAAGGCUGCCUACAUGCUGCCAUCCGGCAGCCAUGGGAUCACAGCCAAGGCAUGCUCUGCAUUCAGGUGUUGCAAUUGGGACAGGUAGCAGAAGAUACUGUAGCCUCAAGGAUGUUCUACAAUGUGCCCUAGUUGCAGAAUCAGACCUCUAUCCAGCUUCCUCCUGCUUUGCGGUCAGCUCUUUGGUUGUGCCACAUGGGCUUAGGCUGAUGUGCCUGGAGUCAGAGUCUGCAUCUGAACUGUUCCCAAGAUUUGCCCUCUGGACGGGGCAGUCUUUUACAAGUGUGCCUGCAAGCGGGAGGUGGUGUCUUAUGGGGUACUGACCUGUGUGAGCCCCCUGCCCCUCUUUGAUCUUGCCUGUCUCUGCCACAGUGGCUCUGGCAGAACAGCCUUCUGAGGGUAGAAUGAAAGUACAAGCGGUUUGCUAAAUUGCCUGCUCAUGUUACUUGGGGUUUUUGAUCCCCUCCAGAGAGGGUGCAUAAGGGUUAUGUUACCCUCUAGGUAGAAGGAAUGGAGCAGUCCAAGGAACAUGCCAGUACCAAGAGAUGUGAUCGUGCUAACCUAUGUGUACUGUGCUGAGCUGAAUACCGUGAUGGUUUUCCUUCUGGGCUGAAUCUUGGGAUCAGGCUUUUGGGGAAUAUGGUGUGUGCAGAUGCACUGGAGUUUUUGCAAAAUCAGCUGUUUUCAAGGGUUUUGCUCUAGAGCAAACUGCUUUAGAUUGCUUUCUCUCAUGCCUGAGAAAAGAAAUUCACGUGCCUGUGGAUUUCACUGUGGGGACAGUGGGUAGUGAUGAAAAAGAAGGGAGAACCUGUUUGCAGCAGUUCCUACCUACAAGCAAGGCCUAAGUAGUUCCAGCUGAGCCCAGAAGUAGGUGUGACUAGCACUCUUCUCCAUCUGCUGUUGCUAGGUCAAAGGCAAAUAAACUGUCAUUCCAUUUCACUCCCUUUGGGAAGUUUAACACUGCAUUUGCUGGAAACUUGACAGUUGUUUCAUCCUAUUCUGGGAUUCACCAAACUCGGAUUCAGAUCCCUGCUGUGUGACAAACUGCCGGCCUGACCUAGGGUGUAUUAUUGUUCCCUGCUGUUACAGUUGGAAUAAUAUCCCUUCUCUGUCUUAGAGACCAUUGUAAGAGUACCUUAAUUAGAGGAUGUUGGGGGCUCAGUUACUUCAGAAAGGACUGGAUUAUGACUGUCCUAUGGCAAUCUCUUCUUCAAUUACAUCUGGAAAGAGCAAAGAAUGAGCCAACUCAUAUGAAAUCUGCCUCACAUGCUUCUUGGUGACAGGGCACACCACCCUGCUGCAGCAUGACAAAUCAGAUUUGUUUUGCUGAUUUCCAGUGCUGCCAGUGCAAAACCAAAGGAUGUGGGAGUAAGCCAAAGUACCAGAACUAGUUUUUCUGCAGCAAGCGUAUCUCUGAGCGUGAGAGCAUGAUGCACAGACAAACCAGCCUGCUGCAGAGUGCUGAGAAGGUGCAUCCUGUUCACAAAAGCAGCUGGUGUUUUUACAGUAUAUGAGCAUCUAAUAUAUUGCUAUUGCAGACAGGUGGAGACAAGUGCUGCCACGUUUUGUGGUCUCCAUGGUUUGUCUCCUUUAUGUGGUUGGUAUCAAAACUGUAGCUUUGUUUAAGUAGCAGCUUCUAGCUCUAAAGAUAUGCUUCAUCUUCACCCUCCACCAGCAGACCUGAAUGGUCACUCUUCUGUCUUGCUCAUCCUAGCAUUCUGGACCGAGUGAGCAUCAACGUGUCAUUUCAGUUGCAGCUACCUGGUCAGUGUUACCAUGAUAACCGUGACUACAGGAGCACAGCUACCACAGGGCAGAAGGCCUUGGAACAACCGUGUGAACAAACUGCUGCCUGGGGGGGAAGGGGCCUUGUCCCCAUUAAUUAUUUGCUCUGGGUUCAGCUUUCUUCAAAGGGCUACAUAAGGAGUCUCAGGCUUCACCCUUUCUUUUGUGACAGCUGGGUGGUCUGAGAUCGUCCUGUUCAUGGCAGGGAGCAUCGGGAGACACUGCUGGGAUUCUCAGCCAUCUAAAUAUCCAGGGCCAACAGGUGUGGUGAGAAACUGAGGCAUAACAAAAGAAGAGCCAUGGCAGAGUCACACGAAGAGUUCAAAUGCUUUUAAUGGGACUUACAGCUACCUAGCUCUAGCUGUACUUGUUUCUCCCUAUACUGGUUCUUUAAAUAGUAUAGCUAUCCCAGCUAUCACUUGAGGGGAUGACAGUGACUAGGAAGUCACUGUUAUUCCUUCCUGUUUGCAUAAGGAAAGGAUGGGAGAGUGUGACCACAGAGAUGUUCAGUUUCAAGAGCUUCAGUCUUGAGGUAGGACGCGAGGAUGAUUUUCACAGUUUGUGUUACUGGUCCAGCGAUUACUGAACACUGCAGGACCUGGAUGUAUGCAAAUGAUAGAUGUGAUGGAGGAGGAAGGCAAGGAUAAAAAAAACAUUACAUGAAGUUCAUCUAGAGAAGAUAAGAUUCCUGAGAAAGGGUGUGUUAAAAUGAAGCUGAGGUUUUAGGAGGGAUGGCUUGUGCUGCCACAUUCCUGCUUUGUCGCUCUGAAAUGAUAAGCAUGGGGCUGAGUCUCGAUAAGGACCAAGCUGUAUAUAGGAGACAAACUGAGUAUCUCUGCUUAAUGUAUGUACUUCAGAGAAUGAAUGGAACCCCUUCUCCAACGUGGAUGGCUUUCUGGUAGGCCACAGGCAAUGGGCCUGCAACAGUGGACAGAGCACAGGACUCUGAGGAGCCUUGUUGAUCGAGAGCAGAGCACUGCUCAGAGUAUGUCACAAAGAUGCCACUUGCCCAAGUUUCUAUAAACACCAGCCGCACAGUUAGGUAAUGAAUAUAUGGGAGGCAGAACUCUGCUUCUAGUGGGAUGUCUUCAGCAAUUCUUACAUGGGAGAUUUUGAUUUCCAUUUUGUGCUAGCUGUUGCCUACAGUUUUUGCUCCCCACAUGCUGCUGCUUCCUUUUUUGAUGGUUAACUUGUCUCCUGUGUUUUGUAUAUACGCUAUAGCAUGUGCACAGUGGGGCAUGCCCAUCAGCUUGAUAGCACAGUGCCUACUGCAGUGGAGUCCUUCCCUGGCAGCCUGAGCUGUACCCAGCAAUGCUGGUAGAAGAGGGGCUUCUGCCAUCAAAAUUCUCACUGUUUAUCUGAAAUACUCAUCCAAGACUGUCUAGAACAUGAACAGCAUUGCUUGGGUUGUUGAAAAGGGCUUGAAUUAUUAUGAAAUUCCUGGCCUCGCAUUUGGCUUAUGAUUAAUUACUUAGGUUUGCAUAGCGCUUUGGUGUUCUACCUGUAAAUCCAAAGUAAGCCGUUACAACUGUGUUGACCUCAGUGGAGUCAUACCGCUUGCUCCAGCUGGGUUGAAUUUGGCUCACCUGGUAGUAUGUGGUAUUUGCAUUCUGUGAAACAAGUGUCCAAUCACUGAUCAAAGCCUUUCCAGGGACUGGAGGCUGCUAAGCUGAUAAAUCUUUCCUCCUUUUGCAUACUGCUCUGCCACUUACCUGGGAAUGACCUUCUCACCAUACCUUUUGACUCUGAGCUUGCUGCGUCUCUGCAGUCCUUCUCUGAGCCUUUGCAGUUCAUGGUGUGUUUGUGUUGCCAUAGAACUUAGAAGCUUUUCUCACAGGUUACUCCAUCUCUUUCAAAGCUUUCAGUACUCCAUUCCCCUGCCAGCAUCUUGUUGCAUAACUCUCCCCCUGCCAAUGUUGCUGGCUUGCAUGGGUGAAAUACUUUAUGCUAGAUAAUUUGGAGUAACCUUGUGACAAAAAAAUCCUAAUCUAAAAGGCAGUUUAGUCUUGCAUUGUCCUUCAUGUGAUUUUACUGCUGAUGGGUUUUGCUGGGGUGGGAGUCAUGGUGCUGGCAUCUGGUUUCUUUGCUUGAGAAGAGCAGAUUAAGAUCAUACUGUGCUCAAACAAGGCUUCUUCAUUUAAUGUGUAUGGGCAGUGGGCACUCAGGCUGAAAGUAGAUUUUGUACUUUAACUUCCAGGUCAGUGAGUUUUUUGUCUCAUUUGUGUCAGCAGACAGUAACCCUUUGUUCAGCAUCACAGUAUUUUCCACCUCAGCAACACUCACUCACACACAGACACAGACACACACACAUGUGAUGCAGAUCCUGAAUUGUGCAAUAAACCCCAUGGUAAGUUCCAUAAACCCAGCAGGUAUAUCAAUCUGUUCUGCUUCAGGGCUUGAUUGUGUGCCCUAUUGACCAGCAAUAAAGCCAAGAGUAUGGAGGUAGUUAGUUAUUCAUUUGUUUUGGCUUUUCCAUCCGUCAUUGCCUAUGUGGGAAAGAAAAGGUGCAUAAAUAAUUUGAGUGAAAAUUUUGUCUUUGAAGAGGUAGCCUUUGUAACUUGUGAAAGCUGGAUAACUCAGUAAAAUUAGUUAAGUAUUAAAUAAAUUAUUUAAUUUAGUAAUUAAGUAAUUUUGUUACUAAGUAGUGCCAGGAUUAAGGCCAAGGUAGGUCAUGAGCAUGAAAGAUCAUGAGUCACAAGCACAAAAAUUAAGAGGUGAAUGCAUCUGAAUGAGUGCCCUGUAGCCUGUUGGUGAUGUCCUGAUUAGCAAAUAACUGCUUGAAGUCCUGCCUUUGCCAUGGUUGGUAGUUUCUGGAAACCUCCUUUGCUGAUGCACAGCCUGGAGAAGCAAGAAGGGCGGCACCAUCCUGCUGCUGGCACGCCUUUCCCGAGCAUCCCUCUCGGAGGUGCAGGCGUGUGCCAGGAGAGCCUCAAGCAUCCAUUUCUGGGUAGCAGUGUGCGUCCCACACAGGAGUGUGACCCUUCUCCCUCUCGAGGCCUGACCUGCUGCUUUUCUGCAGACAGUGGCCAGAAGAGUGAAGGCAACCCGCUUUGCUCUUCGAGUCUGGCAGCGCCUUACUUCCAAAACUCUGCUCAGCCCUGGAGUGCUCUCACACCCAGCUGUGCCUGACCUCCUGUAACCUCGCUGUUUGUGCUGUGGAUCCCUACAGAAUUCCCUCUGUCCUGAUCCUCUUGGACUUUGUCCUCAGAAAAAAAUCCUGCUUAGGCUUCUCGGAAUUAACACACAUUAGCUGAGCUCAGAAUUGCCAUUUCCUGGGAAGUUCUGACACUAACAAGAAGUCCCUUGCUUACAAUGUAACAAAAGUCUGGCACUGACAUUACAACACCCAGGAAUUGCCUUCAUCUAGAAAAGCAGUUUCAAUGGUGUGGAUGGAGCCAAAGUGGUGGACAAGUCUGGGCAGAAUCCUCUAUCAGCUGUGAAUUUCACUCAAGGCUCUUCGCCUCUGUGUGCCCUGUGCUGCUGCAUGUCCUGUGUUGUGUCCCCCACAUGCACUCGCUUGAGACAUUCCUUCGGACAGUUAACAUAAAAGGUGUCUUUGUUUCCAGAGAAAUACAACACAGUCCUCAACAUGAGAGUGUCACAGCACUGCUGGAGCUGCUGGUGAUGGUGAAGGCAGCAGCCACCGCCUCCCACAUCACUGAGGGGAGAAGCGGAAGAAGACUGAAGUCAUGAGCACUUCCCUCCUGAUCUUCCUCCUUCUCUGUGUUUUACGUGAACAGUGACACUUCAGGCAUGCACAUAAAUUUGUUGUAAACUGAUCUGCACCUGGUGAUAGCUGCACUCCACCUUCUCAAACUGCUGAGUUUCAAGUAUGGGACAAGCAGCAGGAAGGAAGGAUUUGGGGGGGAAGUAGAUUAGAGAUAAACUGAAAACAGCUUCACAAUGCUUUGUGAGCGAGAGCCAUGCCCAGUUCCAUGACUCUGCAUUUCUAAGAAGACCAUAUAGGUUUGGAGUAAGGUUUUUGUAAAAGCACCAGUAAAACUGAAUCUACAGAGACACUUCUUGGCCAUGCAAUAUAUGGCAAAACCUCACUUUUUUUGGUAUUUUCUAGAAAAGAACGUUCUUCCUUUUUCCAUACUUCAAAUCACAUUUCAGAAGCAGGAUAUCUACUUGGCAUUCAUGGUAUUGGAUCCUCAUUUCUUAAUUUCUAUUAAUAGGUCGGAAGGCAAACCUAAUAAAAGUGAUUGCCAGCCCUUAUCUUCACCAAGCACCCUUGAUCACAGGGACUGCAUUUUCAGUGGCUUUCACUGAGGAUGUGAAUGUACUGUUAUACCUGGAGAUCACUGGUGAGGAAACCUCUGAGUUCUUUUUUAAGUGCUACUUGAGCUACACCUGUAGGUGUUGAGGGCUGCAUUUUUAAAGAUAUUUAGGUGUCCUAAUGUCAUGGUCCUCACAAAUGUCUAGCUACCUGCCUUCUUGGGGGAAGGAGAUUCCUGAUCCAUUUCCCCCCUUUUUGAGCAAGAAGGAUUAUAAAGUAGAUCCUUCCCUGUACUGAACCUAAUAUAAUAGCUCAUGCUGUGCAAAGAGGGUGUUACACGGGACUGUUGGCAGAGCAUUCUCUCUCAGGUGCAUUCUUAUACCCACUGUUCACUGAGCCGAAAAUGUCUGUGACCAAUGUUAAGUCAAGUCAGUCCUGCACCGCUCACUACCCACUUACUCCUCAGAAUUUGAAUACUGUAAUCCAAAUUCCAAGUCUCUUUGAACUUCUUUUCUCCUGGAAAAUUUUUCUGGAAAACCCUUUGGGAAAGGUUUUUAAAACAAAGAAAACUUGUUUUGUUCCUUGCAUGGAAAUACUUUUUUUUUUUUUUUCAUUUUAUAUACCUGCUUUGGAGAGGAAAUUAGGAAUUGGCUACAAGACUGGGAAGGAAGGGAGAAAUAGCAAAGCUGUUACACAGGGAAAUGUACUCCUGAUUCAUUGCAGAGUUGUUCAAGGGCUGUACCAGUUCAUAGUUCAGCCUUCCAAAAGGUAUGACUGUGUGAAUUUGUCAGUAGGUUUCUGUUAUUGAGCCACCGUGGAUUUCUCUGAAGCAGAGCCCAUGUGCUCGAGAUGAGGUUUGCCACUGUGCUUGCUCUCUGCUGCCUGACACUUUCUGGCACCUUGAAGCCAAAGGAGACCAGACCCCAUGCAGUCACUGUGGAGAUUUUUCCACUGCAGCCAGAGCGGGGCCAUGCUUACACUUCUCCUCGUUUUCUUCUAUAUACCUGCCUUAUGCCCCUCUCUCACCCUACUGCAGCUGAAGGAGUACAGUGGAACAGAGGAGGGGGUUAGAAUUUCUCAUAGACCCACUGGUGUCCUGAACAACUUUGUACAUAGGUUGAAGAAAGAAGAGACACUGCUGUGCCCAAACAAAGAAGCUCCAAGCACAGGGACAGGACAGCAGAGGUAUCGGCAAGUAAUGGCAGACUAAAACUUUUUAUGCAAGUUCCAUUUGCAAGAGGGAUUAAAAGAGUUUGCUGGGGUGAGAACAUGUUGGAAAAGGUAUGCUGACAUGAAAAAGUCAGCCCUUUAAUGGGGCAAAGUAAGUAUUUGAAAAUUAGUGCUUGUAAGACAGAAAGUAGAGACAUGGUGGAGGAUCAGGACUGAACAGAGUAAAGCAUUAGUACCACAGCUGCCAUGAGGAAAAAGACAAAUAUAUAAAAUAUGGGAUGUCCAGCUGGCAGUCUGUGUGAAGUCUUGAGACAAACAGCAAAUGAACUUCCCUGUGCCUUGGCAAGCAGCGUUUCAGAAAGCCUUGGAAAGCAAGAAAGUUCAAGAGAAUCAGAUGUCUGAUAUCAUUUAGUGUUAGCUUUGCAGUUACUUUGCUGAUAAGCUAAACUUUGUAACACAGUACAAAUAGCACAAGGAAAAGUGUCAAGCUGCUCUCCCUUCCAUCAGCCACAUCCCGUGACUCCCACGGGAGCUUGGUCUGAAUAGGAGGGAAAGUAUGGAGGCCAGGAUAUACAAAAUCCUACAGGAUAACGAAAACUGAGCAAUAAAUGAUCACAGAAAAAGGUAUUAAGAGACAGUCAUUUACACAUCUGGCUACGUAACCGGUUAUUAAUGGUGAAGGGAAGCAGUAAAGCUUCAGAUAAAGGUUUCACAAAACCCAAGUUGAAAAAUUAAUUCCCUUUUGCUGUGGCUACAGGAACUGCAGCGGUAGACUAAAGAUGAGAGUGAAAAGAAACCUACUUGAGUAGUAGGAAAGUAUUAGUAAGCAUGAGCUCUGCUUGUCUGUGGAACAGAUUUUGGGGAAAAAUGGCAGAAAAAUCCCUGUGCUUUGGUCAUUUAAAGCAGACAAGGCACAUGUGCCUCUCAGGAAAAUCCGCUGAGCACGGGAGGGACAGGUAACACUGACAUGGCUCAGGCUGAAACAAAUGCUGACACUUUCCAGAUACGUAGCCUGUGUGAAAGCGCUGGAUGAUUCCCGCAGACCAGGUAUCUACACGUGCUGGUGACCUGAGCCCAUCACAGAGACGCUGAAGAGCCAACACAUGGGUACGAGGCACCGGUGCCGGAGAAGGGGCUCGGACAUUGCCUGUUCUGGACAGCGGUGGUAGCCGCAUUCUACAGAACGCAAGCCUGCCUGCCUGGACAUGCAUUUAAUCUUACCCGUAACAGCAAUAGGAAAAAAUUAAAUUAUGUGGUUAGCAUAACUGCUUACUUAGAAAUAGACCAAGCCAUGUGAGCCCGGGGAGGUUUGUUCCCAGCGGACCCGGGCGGGGGGCCCUGCGGGGGGCCCGGCUCGCACCGCUCGCUCCCGCUGCUGCUCGGCUUCGCUCCCCCAGCGGCUUUGGCUACCGCCCCGGUUCUCAGCGGUAGGAAGCGCGGAAAUCGGGAACACUUUAUGGCCCCAUGGUUUGGGCUGUGGCACCUAAAAGGUACAGCCGGGACCCCCGCGCUCGGGCAGCCCCUGGCCGCGUCCACCGCGGUCACAGCCGGCUGGGCACAGCGGCUGGUGUCCCUGAUCACCGGCAGCGGGCACACAGUAACAGAAGACUGCAAAGGC